AUAACUAACCAUUAUGAACAUUUUAUGGUAUCUAUACCCUGCUCACUUAUGAUUACGUGCCCCAUAAAAGCCGUGUCCCCUUUGUCACGCCUCCAGUUUGAUUGAUCAUAUCCACGCGAUCCCUAUAAAUAGACGCUGGUCCUCUAGACCUAGGCUCGUACUGUACCGAAUAAUAAAGCGUAUGUACAUAGGUACUCUACAAUCGCCAGCCGGGCAGAGGAGCAGCGCAACCAGAACCAGAUUAAACCGCAGAUGCGCUGUCAAAGUGACAGGGCCACGAGGAACGACUUGAUUGCCCAUGUGACCAUGCCCAGGAUCGGAUCCGAGCCAAGGAACCCCCCGAACCUGGCAACCCCGGACAAACCAGAGGAGGGACCGGAAGGUGGAACCGACAACGACAACCACGUUCAACGUUCUAAUGAACCCAAAAAGAUUUUACGCGCCAAAGACUUUUCACGUUGCCCAAGCAUCCACGAGAUGCUCGUAGGCUCAUGGUACAAUUGCAAAAACGACAAUAAGAUAGGGGAAUAUUUUUCAAGAUCGAAGUUGGAAAUACCCAUGGCCAAUGAGCAUAGUUACUUGAAUCCCAAAUUAAAAAAAAAGAUUUAUAAAAUAUAUAUUUAAAAUAAAAGACGGUAUCAAAUAAGCUCGACUUAUCAUGUAAUGCCCCUAGAGCCGCGCGUGUGCCUGCCUUUUCUCUGUUUUGAUACGUUAUAAAAUUAAAGACCUAAUGAAGUGGAGGCAGCGACAACGCAGAGAUAAAUAUGCACACAAAAAAAAAAAAAA